rnacentral:RNase_P_RNA from 2 species
CAGGGUAAGCGGAUGAUCGCUCGGCUUUGCAUUUUAUGUAAAGUAGAGAGGAAAGUCCGGACUCCGAAAGCGUUUAAUACGCUGGCAAGCGGCAGUCGCUAACGGCGACCCGCCGACGCUAAAGCUUUGGCGGGCAAGCCAUCAGCAGUUGUUUAAUUAUAAUUGUCAGAUGACUGCUCGCAAUAUAGUUUUAGAUAAGACGAGGGAAAGUGCCACAGAGACAAUACUAACCGCCUCGCGGCGGUGAAAGGUGAAAAGUGGGUUGGUGUCUUUCGUUCUAGAUGAAAGGCUGCAACUCUCGCCCUUCGGUGACGGAGAGGCGUGGUAAACCCUGCCUGGAGCAAGAGCAAACCAGGCCGCCCAAGGCGGCCUGAUGAAAAGUGGCUCGCUUGAGUCGGCUGGCAACAGCCGUCCCAGAUAGAUGAUCAUCCCCGCCAACUGGCGGGACAGAAUCCGGCUUACAGCUUGCCCUGAUAU